rnacentral:misc_RNA from 1 species
UCGUGUUGCCUAGCGAGCAGCUGGUACUGACUGGUGCCUGUUUUAUUUGUUGUCAAGUCAAGAGUGACAACUGACAACUAAAGUGCACUGUGAAUGACAUUAACGUGAUGGCUCUUUUCAAUUUGUUGUUUGAUUGUGUUUAGCUACUGAAGUUAUGAAAGAAAUUGUAAAACGUGCUUUAUUUCUCCUUAACACAAAGAUAUUAAUCUUUGAAAAUAACCGGUAAUUUUCACCAUGGCUGAUGACAAUUGGAAGGAAAGACUAGGAAUUGAAAUAAAUUAUUCUUCUGAAGAUGAUGAUUCCAGACAGAAGCAGGAGGACUUGUCACCACUCAGUCCGGGUGUGGAUGAUGUCCUGAUGAACUUUGAUCACUUAGGCACUACUCCGCCUCGCACCCGCAUUCGGAACAAGGAUAAGAGCCGGCGGGAGAAAGACGCAAGCACGAAGCCAGCUCCACGCAUUAUCUACAGUGGAAGGAGUUCUUCGGAGAAGAAUUUCUUCAGCAGAAAUAAUUCUGAAAGCUUUGAUGACGAAGUGGACAAUGUAGUGGACGGUCGCAAGCCCAGCUACAACAAGCGAACGAUGCAGCGUCUGCGGGGCUCGGAGCGUGACUUCAAACUGGAUCAGAGCGACAUACGACUCCCUGCUCCCCCACCCCGUGAGGACCGGGCAGAGAGCUUGCCCCCUCAGACACCCUUCAAGAUAUUCGGAUUGCAGGUGGAGUCAUGUAACCGGUUCAUGUCCCUCUCAUCAAAACUGGUCUCAUCGCGCAAUGUAAGGCUGCCACAACCAUGUUCUGCAGCCAGCGCAGACGAGGUGGCGCAGAGCCGCAUAGAGUUCUACCAGACGUUCUCCUUGCUGAUUAAGAUGGGAAAUCCGGAUCGCAACAACCCACCUUGUCCGGAUCGUGACUCUGUCUACUGCAAGCGACAGCUGAGCAAGGAAGAGCACAUGUGGCAGAAUGAGCUGAAGGAUCUAAUCUGGCUAGAAUUGCAGGCUUGGCACGCAGACAGGACACCUCAGCAGCAGGACGACUUCCUAUGUGAGGCCAGAGAGGCAGUACAGCCUUUGCUACUCGAGAUCAUCAACUACAGGUUUCAGAAGCGCACAGAUCCUACACUCAGUAAUGACAGCGGUAUCCAUAUUCCAGAGACAAUGCAGAGUAAUGAAGAGGAAGAUCACGACUGUUGCAUGCUGUCCAUGUUCUGUCCCCGCUGUAUGGAACAACAGAACAAUGCAUUGCGAGAUGUGGAGACCUUGAUGCGCAGGCUGCAGGCUGCAGAGGCUCUGUUCCCCUCCAGUAAAGCCUUUGCGGCCCAGUACCCCUUGUAUAUGAGUGACAAAUUGGUUGGGAGAGUCAAGGCCAUGUGUGUGUGGUACAACAUGACCAAGAACCACAGGCUCAAGCUGCUCAUCCUGGGCAAGCAGUUGCUGAGUCAUGCAGAGAAAAACCAGUCAGACGCUACUGAAUGGAUCGACUGUCAUAGUGUUCUGCAUGAGCUGAGUGAUCUGCUGAACCACAACAUCAAGUGUUCCUCCAGUGUCACCUCGGACAAGGACUGGCUUAAGGACUUCUAUGACACCCAGCCACUGCUGCGAGCUGCCAGCUACCUUGAACAGGCCGACAAGAACAAUCUUGUAUUCAGGAGUUACCUAGAAGAUGUGUUAAAAACCAAGGGGUUACGGAAAGCACUUAACUUUCUGGAGAAACUGCACAUCUCGAUGCUGCGGAAAGCGAGCUACACUUUACAGAAACCCAACUUGGACCAGAAAUAUGAGAAAGAGGGGGAGUGUUUCGAUGAGCAGGAGAUGCGCCGUUACGGCUACUGGAGUCCUGAAUCACAAGCACUGGGGCUUCCGUCGUAUCGUGCCGCAUAUCUUUUUAUCUCCCACAUCCCACUUGACAUGAUCCACGCAUACCUGCGACUGCGUCUAGAGACCAAACCAGAGCAGCCAUCCGUCAUGAGUAUCAGACAGCUGAUCCAAGAGCUGAAGGAGGGUCUUAGGCUGGCUGUGCUAAACCGACAAAGGUAUCUGGACAAUGUGAAAACUUCACUGUGGAACUGCACAACAGAGAUUGUGGAGAACUUCAAGAACAGAGUGACAGCAUUUGAUGCUAGUGUACAGAGUGUGCUGGAGGUAUACCUGGAGUAUCUUCAACAGUGGGUACAGAUGAUAGAGCAGCAGAGGGUUCAGAAGAAUAUCCUGAAGGAGGAAUGGUCUUUUAUCUCUGGCAUUACGAAACACAUUCCCGGCGGCCAAGCAGUUGUAGGCAGCAGCUUCUGUCGGAUGGCCACAUCCAUGUUUAAGAUCAACCGAGAACAGUUCAAGAAUCAAGUGGACAAGUUGACAGAAAGCAUUGCUCAUGUUACUGAGGCUGAGAGUGCGUUCAAGCAGACAAUGUUCUCUGUGUGUCGCAAACUACAAGUGGUCUGUGGAGAUGGCAGGGAGAAGAUUAUUAGUGUCCUCAUCCUAUCUAAGAUGCUGCGUAAAGAUCUGGAGAGUGACACCAAUGAAAGUGUACGUUCUUCGCUGUGUAGCAACAUCAUUGGUGACUCUCUUUCACAGCUUAAGAGAGAAGCCCUCAGCAUGUGUGAGUGUAUCUCUGAGAUUGUAAGGCAGAUAGAUGAGGCUAGCCAGGUGCCCGAGGACUGGGAUGAGAGUGAUAAGGAUGUACUUCAAAGUCGGAUCAGGGAAGUACUCCAUCAGUUCUUCAAAUUUGGCUUCGAGUACCAAAAGGAGGUCUGCUGGCUGGUGACAGGAGGGUCACGCUCUCAGCUCGCCCAACGUCUCAUCUCCUUUGCACAGUUGUGGAUGACAUUUGUGCGGACACGCUGUGAGCGCGGUCGUGGCCUCAGACCUCGCUGGGCCAACCAUGGCCUUGACUUCAUCAUGACUGUCUGCGAGCCCCACUUCACCAGCUGCAUCAGUGAUGAAGAGUUCGAGGAGCUGAAGUCCAACAUAGAUGAUUGUGUCUCCCAUGUAAUCGGCACAGCUGUGGCCAAUGGAGGCACCUCUCCUGGCACACCAGGCUCGUACUAUCGCAAUCGUGGUGUGUCUCCCUCCCCUUCCACCCCUCGGCCUACCCGUGUCUCCCGUCAGGAGAGGGGACCCAGCACCCCUGCCAGUCCGGAGAUCCGGAGCGAGGCCACAUCCUCUAACGAGGAGAAAGAUGGUACUAUUGUGGAAACGCUUAUUUGUCCUGUCCGCAAGGUAUCUCGACAAGACAAGUUGCUGGUGGCUGUGAAAGAGUUGGACCGCACUCUGGAGGAUAGGUUGCGGAACGACAGUCUUAUCGGCAACAUCGUGGCAGUGCGGGCCAGCAGUUCCGAGCAGACAUUCGUGCGGCCACGGACUGUCACCUUCGGCUGGCAGCGAGGCAUCAAGAUAGGCCAAGGCAGGUUUGGCAAAGUAUACACUGCCGUCAACAACGAGACCGGAGAGCUCAUGGCUAUGAAAGAGAUCGCUCUACAGCCCAAUGAUCAUAGGACCAUACGUAGCGUGGCCACAGAGCUAAAGAUAUUUGAGGGCAUUGUCCAUGAAAACCUGGUGCGGUACUACGGCGUCGAGAUACACCGGGAGGAAAUGCUGAUAUUCAUGGAGCUGUGUACAGAAGGCACCCUAGAGUCUUUAGUGGCAGCUACAGAAUCUGGGCUGCCAGAGGCCUGCAUCAGACGUUACACUCUGCAGCUGACCCGUGCCGUAGCGACUCUACACAAGCACUCUAUUGUACACAGAGAUAUCAAGAGUGCUAAUAUCUUCUUGACAGCAGAGGGCAAUUGUCUCAAACUUGGAGACUUUGGGUCAGCAGUGAAGAUCAAGGCUCACACCACUGUGCCUGGGGAAUUACAGGGCUUUGUGGGCACUCAGGCAUAUAUGGCUCCAGAAGUGUUCAUGAAAUCCAACUCAGACGGCCAUGGAAGGGCAGUGGAUGUCUGGUCUCUGGGCUGUGUGCUAAUAGAAAUGGGCUCGGGCAAGAGGCCAUGGGCAGAAUACGACUCCAACUACCAGAUCAUGUUCAAGGUGGGAAUGGGAGAGACCCCAGAGAUCCCUGACUCUCUUAGUGAGGAGGGUCAGCACUUUGCUGCAAAAUGUCUGGUCCAUGACCCCAAGCAGAGAGCCACAAUAACGGAACUGCUUGUCCACACUUUCCUUGCGGUGGAAGGAGAUGAUGAAUUUAUCUCAUCCACUGUGCCUUCCAUUUUGGAGGACUAUCUCAAGUUGGGCAUCAAGAGGUGAACUGUUGAAAGCAGGCUGUGUACAACCAUGAUAUUGGCAAAGUUCGCCUGUUGAGCACUCCCAGUACAACUGGAAAAGUUCUCCGAUUGUUUCUUUAUUUUUGACUCAAGUGUUCAUUGUAUUGCUGUAACUUUAUUUUUAUUUUAUAUAUCUUUAGAAAUUUUUAGAAAACUUUAUUGUUGGUACUUAAUGUUCGUUUUUUGUGUAAUUGCAUGUUAGUAAUUAAUUGUAACAUUUAAAAUUCACUGUACUUAUUUUAUUCAACUUUAUGAAUUUCCUAUCCAUUUUCACUAGUACUUUAAUGAAUUGAUUUACUCAUUUUAUUUCAGAAAUGUUUAUGGACACUAUCUUUGAUUUUACAAGUUUUUUUUUAUAUUUUAGAAUGUCCACAUUUGGUUACAGUUUUGUGUUUUGUAAUGUACAACAGAUCUGAGAAGAGAUGAUGGUGGUUGUGUUAUCAUCUACAUUGGAUGUGGUGUGGAAUGUUGACUAUAAAAUAUAUGAGUAUUUUAUUUUGUAUAAGGUUCAGGAAAGAUGGUCUCCAGUUUUUUUCUCAAAACAACAUCUGAAGAACCAGUCACAGUUUGUAACUCCAAAAGAGGAAAGCUGAAUCAUUAUAAAAUCUUAUUAAUUUACUAUGUUGAACAAAUAAUAAUUGAUAAUUAUUAAUUUUUAAAACUAAAAUCAUUCAUUAAAAAACUUAACCAACGCACAGGUUUUACAUGUAUUACAUUUUUUUAUCUACUUAUUUACUUAUAUUGUUUUUAUUUAAAUUAAUGUUGAAAUGUCUCCAUUAUAGUUAGUUUAUAAACUUGAAUAGAUUACAAGUGAAAACACAUAAUUUGUAAAACCAAAGAACCAUUUGAUUCUUAUAUCCAUCUGAUAAAAAAUUCUUAGUUUUUUUCUAAAUUCAUACAUAAAAAAAAUUUAGUCCUGUUUUUUUUUUUGUUAUUUGUAAAAUUGUCAUGAUGAAUCAGUUUUAUAAUUAUCAUUGAUAUAAUUUUUAUGUUAAUUAUAAAUAACAUCAACUGGAUUCAACCCUAAUUUAUGUAUAAUCAAUUUAAUAAUUCUCCCUAUUAGUAAUAAAAGAUUUGAUUUUUUUUAUACAUCUAUUUAUAUCAGGUAUAUUAUUUAAAGGUAAUAAGUGUUAGCAUAUUUGUUUUAUAUUUUGAAUUCAUAUUACAAUAUUUAGCUAUUUUACCGGUGUUGUGGUAUAAAUUGAGGUCAAUUUCAGCACAAAAGUAAGUAAAUUUAUAAGACAUAAUGUAUUUAUCUAUAACUGAAUUAUUUCUUCUGUUAAAAUAUUAUAGUAAUACCUUGAUUAACCAUCUUUAUCAUGACCUAGAUUGUGAUGGAAGAGCAAAUAGAUGGAUAAUAGAAAUACAGCAGAACUCCAAACUAUUAUUUUACCAGUAGAUUUUUACUCUUGUUUUGGUAUGAAAUUAAAAUGAAUGUGUUUACGAUUAAAAACUCAGUCUGGUUAUUUUACUACUACAAUGAGAUAACUACUGUGCAAGCUGGUUAUAAUAAGUUUGAUAAUCAAUAAGUUUUAAGUAGUGAGAAACUGCAUCUUUAAUUUAAGUAUGUAAUACAAAAUUUAGUUUUUUACUUGUCUUAUGACCAAAUGAAGGUUACCUUCCAGAUAUAUUUUUCAAGUGCUGUUUUUAAAUAGUAUCUUAUUCACAUCAAUUUGCAUGUUGCAUAGUCUUAGUGAAAUUUAUAUAUAUAAAAAAACAGUUGGGACAUUAUUUACUUUUAUUAUUUUAUUUCAAAAACCUGUUUCAACACAUUAUAGAUAUAAAACAGCAAAAGUAAAUAAUGUCCCAACUGUUUCAAGUUCAUUUAUAAGUAUAUUGUUUUAAUAGUACUUUUUUGAGUCAUUAAAAUACUAAAUUGUCAUGUAGAAACUUAUUUGAUGUAUUUAUAAAUAUAACCUUCGUUAUUUUAUUUCUGUUUUUAUGAUUAUACAAAAUCAAAUGUCUGUAAUAAAAUACAAACUCAUCUCAGGGAAGGUUUAGAGGCUCAAAACGUAAAAAUGCAACAGACGAAUUAAUAUUUUUUAUUCACUGCUUUAUUUUAUAUAAUUAUUUGAAUGUUAUAAUGUUCAGUACAUAAUAUUUUGUACGACAAAAACAACCAUAAAAGUCCUUGAAUUUUAUCAAUAAAAAAUAAUAGCUCUUUUUCAGUAUUUUAACCCUUGAAGUGGAAGUAGAAAUUUCCUAAAAUGACCAACUAUUUUUGGGUUUUGUAGACAUGCAUGUAUUUUUAAAAUACAUAUUUAAUAUUACAAACCUAUAUUUAUUGCACAUAAUGUUUCCAUAAGAAUCUAUAGAUAAUUACUGCAUGUAAAGUUCUACUUUUUAAAUAAACUUUUUUGUUGAACCAAAUACGUUUUGAAAAAGGUUUUUUGUUUUCAAAUGUUGUGGGAGUGCACUGAACAUUUGAUAAUAUAAAAUAUUUUUAAACCACAUUCAAUUUUAUACAUGGUCGAUAGAAGAUAACUAUGUUACUUCAAAACUACAAAUAGUAUAAAACAAAUUAUAUUGGGUUUUAAAAAAAUUGUGAGUUAAAUUCAUAGCUCUUUAAGAUAAUUUCCGUGGAAACAAAAUAAGUAAAAACAAAGAAAACUUUUUGGACACUCCAUGUGAAAUUACAGGGGUUUAAAAUAGGAAAUGUAGACAAUUUUGUAUUAAGGCCCAAAUACAAACGGUUGAAGAUAAAAAUAUAAAAUUAUUAUAGUAUGUAGAUUGUUGCUUCACGGAGUGACAUUUUUUUAAAUAUUUGUUCUUUACAAAAUUAAAUAUUAGAAAAAAACAUUUUACUCCCUGAAGUUAUAACUUAUUUAUUAUUUUGUAAACAUUGGAUCUCCAUGUAGUAAAACAAAAUAACCACUGAAAUCAGCACCUCUAUGUAGGUGGUGCGCAAAAGUGGGGCUAGAUUUAAACCAACUGCAGUUAGGCAAUCCAGUUUGAAUUAAAAAUCACCAUACAAUUCUUUCUAUUUCGAUUCUUCUCGUGACAAAGUCGUAAUAAUGGCUAACAGUGACUCAUUUAUUGGUUUAUUACUGUAGUUAAAAUAGCUCAAGGUGCCUUCAGAAUAUAUUGUAAAACUAAAUUGUCUAUUUUAUUAAUGAAUUUUGAACACAAAGUAUCGACUGACUAGAAAUAGAAUAUUUUUAUACGAAGAAUGAACACAACUGAAAUAAUAGUCGAGAAAUCUGUGGAUGGUGUUUGUUUUAUGUCAGUUCUAUGUAGUGUUAAUAUUUACUCUUAAUAAGCAUGUACAAAUUAUUUCUUCCCAACACAUUUCCAUUUUCCUUUUAGUAAAAAGCUCUCAUAAAUGGUUAAAUGGUCUACACAGUUUUCAGUCAUAACUGAUAUCAGAUUUAUAGGGGAUUCAAAAUCUGCCACAUUUCUAAAUUGAAAAUAGUAAUAGUAAUAAUUUUAUAAAUGGAAAUGUGUUAUCUUCAUAUCCCUGCUGUUACCCAAUAGUUAUUUUAUUGUUGUUUGAUUCCUGGUACAUACAAACUACUUCUUAGUAAACUUGUUGUUAUUGUUGAUUUUAUUCAUAAUAUCUAGAAAGUAAUUUAAUUAAAUGUUAAGUUUGUUGUAAAAUUAUUAUUGUUGCUGAUUAGUUAUUAAAUUUAAUGGUUUAUACAAAAAUAAUCUUUUUAUUAUGAUCAUAAAUGAAACCCAGCUUGGA